AACUAGGCAGAUGGGCCAUUGGUUUCUGAACAAUUACUUUCGAAGAAAAAAAAACCCUCAUUGUUUACAGAAAUGUUAGAAAAUAUUUUGUUUUUAUUAAUUGAUAUCAAUCUGCCUCAGUCAGAGAUUCCAAGUUCAAAGUUCACUAACUUCUCUUUUGUUGUUCUUACAGAUUUUUGACUUCUCUGUCUUUUGUGGGUGAUAAUAUUUAGAUUUCAGAAUGCAAAAGAGGGUAUUGUAAUUCUCUGCAGGCAGUGAAUCUCUAGCCAUUGAUCUGUGUGUCAUUUCACCAGACUCUCACGCACAGCAAUAUUAUAGUCUGGCAGCAGAUGAUGAAGAUCUGAAACAACCACCCAUUCUGAUUAAAAAAUUUGCUGAGAAUGAUGUUCUCCAGAUUCAUCCAUGUCCCUACAAAGGACACGAACUCAUCAUUUUUGAUUGCUGCAUAAUAUUCCAUGGUGUAUAUGUGCCACAUUUUCCCAGUCCAGUCUAUCAUCGAUGGGCAUUUACAGCAACUUCAAAUGAAGACAAGCCAUACUCAGAUCUCUGAUGCUUUUUGCUUGAUCAUGGCGACAGUCUGCCAUGCAUCAUGUUUAAAUCAGAGUAUAAAAAUAAACAGCAAGAUAAGAGAAGAUGCAUGAACUUCCAAUCUCUCAAAUGAGAAGAGUAUUUCAAGUUGUAUAAAUAGAUCAUGUAUACUAAUUACAUUCAUGCUUGGGAAACACAACGGCCAGUGCAGCUUGAAAUUGUUUAGUUUUCUUUUUCUUUAUCUUUUACUUUCAGGAUCAUUCUUUUAGUCAGGGAAACGACCUUUCCAAAUCCUAGAGAGUGCACUUCCAAUUAUUAAGUAUAUUGUUACAUUAUAAUACAAGAAUAUGUUAACAUGUUGUAUAUAUUAAUGAAUAUACAUUUAUGUUUAUUAACUAACACAAACAUCAUAUUAAUAUGUAAUAUAGACAAGCAUAAAUUUUGAUUCGAUAUAUGGAUGAGUGUGGCUCAGAAUUUUAAAUAAAAUUAGUUAAUCUGUGCAAAAAGUAGCACUUGCAACAAAAGCUUCUGAGUUUAAGAGGAAAAAGAACACGAGAAAAUUAUUACAAAACAGCAUGUAAUCCAGAAUUCUUACACAGGCAUUUUCUUAUAGGGUAAAAGAUGAGUAUUUUUAAGCGUCAUUCCGAAUUGUGUUAGCAGCUCCAAUGCCCCGCUUCACUCUGGAUGUAGGGAGGCAUCACGUCCUAGGCCAAGCAAAGACUUGCUGUGACGUUUCUUUACUUGUUGGGAGAGAAAAGUUCUAACAGAAUGCAUCCAAAAGAAAAGCUGAGUUUAUGAAAAUAUUUUAUUAUAUGUAUGUAUGUUACUGCUGAAAGUAUGAGUCAAAAGUGUAAGACAUAUGGAAUGAUAAACUCUAAUAUAAACACUAAUAUUUCUGGAUAAACGUCCAGUUCCCUACCACACUUUAUGUCCUCGUUUAUUCUAAUGUCCUCCAACUUCCAAAAAAAAAAACCAUCAUAUCAUUUCUGAUGCUUCCUCCUGUCAAUAGUUAAUUGGAUCUGAGGCUGACCCAAAUUAUGCCAGUCAGGACUCUAUUUCUAAAGUAAUUUUAUCUAAGCUGAAAGAUCUUAAAAAGGAGGUCUAUGAUCACAUGAAAUAAUGAUCUUUCAAUGUUGGUGUUGGGUGGACAUCAUCAUCUGUUUACUGUGCACAAAUCAGCAUAAUGGAGGCACCAAACAAAUAAUCACAAAAUAAACAAAAACACUGUGGACUACUAAAAUCUAUUGGAAGUGCACAUUUACUUAAAACUCUCUGACUUCCCUUAUUGCUAAGAAUCACAGAUAAUUUCCUCAAAUCCAGACUACUUGCUCAACUUUGUUAAUAAUUUGUAGCAUGAUAUAGUAGUUUUUGGGAAAAGCAGAGUAACCUGGUGAUGAUUUUUAGUUGCCGUAAA
ensembl:lncRNA